rnacentral:rRNA from 1 species
AAAACCUUCAUCACUCCCGCGGCGUAUUAGCUAGUUGGAGAGGUAAUGGCUCCCCAAGGCGACGAUACGUAGCCGACCUGAGAGGGUGAUCGGCCACACUGGGACUGAGACACGGCCCAGACUCCUACGGGAGGCAGCAGUAGGGAAUCAUCCGCAAUGGACGAAAGUCUGACGGUGCAACGCCGCGUGAGUGAUGAAGGUUUU